rnacentral:rRNA from 1 species
UACGUAGGGACCGAGCGUUGUCCGGAUUCAUUGGGCGUAAAGAGCUCGUAGGCGGCUGUUCAAGUCGAACGUGAAAACUCGGAGCUCAACUCCGAGCCUGCGUUCGAUACUGCCGUGCUUGAGGACUGGAGAGGAGACUGGAAUUUACGGUGUAGCGGUGAAAUGCGUAGAUAUCGUAAGGAAGACCAGUGGCGAAGGCGGGUCUCUGGACAGUUCCUGACGCUGAGGCACGAAAGCGUGGGGAGCGAACAGG